AACGCAAAUUGCGCCCAAGGCUUCGGCCGAGGGCAUGUCUGCCUCAGCGUCGGCAUAACCCCAUCACCCACUACCUUAGUGAGUGGAUCUGGCAGUCCCAGUCAGGGUCAGCCGAAUUGCAGCGGUUGCUGUCAGGACCCGCCUUAGGCGUGGCCACUCAGUUUGGUAGGUAACCCCUGGUUGCAUGCCACUGUUGGCCGUUGUGGCCUGUUGUAGCACACCGGCAGGAAUUGAGGGACUCAGCACCCUCCUCACAUUUCGACCUGAGGUCAGGCAAGAUCACCCGCUGAACUUAA
rnacentral:misc_RNA from 1 species